rnacentral:rRNA from 1 species
AACGAACGCUGGCGGCGUGUUUAAGACAUGCAAGUCGCACGGGAUCAUUUUGGUAGUAAUACUUGAAUGGUCUAGUGGCGCACGGGUGAGUAACACGUGAAUUACAUGCCCUUCAGUGGGGAAUAGCCCAGGGAAACUUGGAUUAAUACCCCAUGGUAUCGCAAGAGUAAAGGUGGCCGCAAGGCUGUCGCUAUAGGAUUGGUUCGCGCCCUAUCAGCUUGUUGGCGGGGUAACGGCCCACCAAGGCUACGACGGGUACCUGGUCUGAGAGGACGAUCAGGCACACUGGAACUGAGACACGGUCCAGACACCUACGGGUGGCAG